rnacentral:rRNA from 1 species
ACUCCUACGGGAGGCAGCAGUGGGGAAUAUUGCACAAUGGGCGCAAGCCUGAUGCAGCCAUGCCGCGUGUAUGAAGAAGGCCUUCGGGUUGUAAAGUACUUUCAGCAGUGAGGAAGGUGGGUAUGUUAAUAGCAUAUUAAUUUGACGUUAGCUGCAGAAGAAGCACCGGCUAACUCCGUGCCAGCAGCCGCGGUAAUACGGAGGGGUGCGAGCGUUAAUCGGAAUUACUGGGCGUAAAGCGCAUGCAGGUGGUUUGUUAAGUCAGAUGUGAAAGCCCGGGGCUCAACCUCGGAAUUGCAUUUGAAACUGGCAAACUAGAGUACUGUAGAGGGGGUAGAAUUUCAGGUGUAGCGGUGAAAUGCGUAGAGAUCUGAAGGAAUACCGGUGGCGAAGGCGGCCCCCUGGACAGAUACUGACACUCAGAUGCGAAAGCGUGGGGAGCAAACAGGAUUAGAUACCCUGGUAGGAUAGCG